rnacentral:tRNA from 1 species
CGGGGUGUAGUAUAGUGGUAGUACGCAUCCAUGGGGUGGAUGUAGUCCCGGUUCGAUUCCGGGCACCCCGACAA